rnacentral:rRNA from 1 species
GAUCAUGGCUCAGGAUGAACGCUAGCUACAGGCUUAACACAUGCAAGUCGAGGGGCAGCAUGGAGUUGCUUGCAAACUCUGAUGGCGACCGGCGCACGGGUGAGUAACGCGUAUCCAACCUUCCCUAUAGUAGAGGAUAGCCCGGCGAAAGUCGGAUUAAUACUCUAUGUUUUCCGUUGCAGACAUCUAAGAUGGAACAAAGGCUUGCCGCUAUAGGAUGGGGGAUGCGUCUGACUAGGUAGUCGGCGGGGUAACGGCCCACCGAGCCAUCGAUCAGUAGGGUUCUGAGAGGAAGGUCCCCCACAUUGGAACUGAGACACGGUCCAAACUCCUACGGGAGGCAGCAGUGAGGAAUAUUGGUCAAUGGGCGAGAGCCUGAACCAGCCAAGUAGCGUGCAGGAUGACGGCCCUAUGGGUUGUAAACUGCUUUUAUGCGGGGAUAAAGUUCACUACGUGUAGUGUUUUGUAGGUACCGCAUGAAUAAGGACCGGCUAAUUCCGUGCCAGCAGCGGC